rnacentral:rRNA from 1 species
GACGAACGCUGGCGGCGUGUCUAAUACAUGCAAGUAGAACGCUGAAGGAGGAGCUUGCUCUUCUGGAUGAGUUGCGAACGGGUGAGUAACGCGUAGGUAACCUGCCUGGUAGCGGGGGAUAACUAUUGGAAACGAUAGCUAAUACCGCAUAAAAUUGAUUAUUGCAUGAUAGUCAAUUAAAAGGUGCAAUUGCAUCACUACCAGAUGGACCUGCGUUGUAUUAGCUAGUUGGUGAGGUAACGGCUCACCAAGGCAACGAUACAUAGCCGACCUGAGAGGGUGAUCGGCCAAACUGGGACUGAGACACGGCCCAGACUCCUACGGGAGGCAGCAGUAGGGAAUCUUCGGCAAUGGACGGAAGUCUGACCGAGCAACGCCGCGUGAGUGAAGAAGGUUGUCGGAUCGUAAAGCUCUGUUGUAAGAGAAGAACGAGUGUGAGAGUGGAAAGUUCACACUGUGACGGUAUCUUACCAGAAAGGGACGGCUAACUACGUG